UUGUACAUGCUGGUUUUGUAACUUGUUCUCUUGCAGACCAGAAUAUAUCUUCAGUGUGUUGUGGUUGCAGGUGUUUCCUCUUGAAUGUGUGGGCUGUUAGUUUGGUGCAGGAGAUGUGUUGAUGUCUCAGUGUGAGCAGCUUGUUGUCUUUUUCCUGUGUUAAUGUUGUUGAUCUCAGUUUCACACCCACCUCCUGUUACCACUUCCCGUUUGUCUCUUCAGACAUUACUAAUACGAACACUAAGUGGGCUGCUAUCUCGUAUGCGCCCCCUUUCUCGCCCCUUCUCUUCCCCCCUGUAGUUCUCUUCCAGUCGCAUUUUCUCCUGGUCUGUCCCUGCCUCCUUGCUGCCAUGGCGACGGGACGCCUGUGAGGGCGGGCUCGGUGGCAAGGCCUGUUUAAAGAGGGGUGGGGUUUUGGUUUUGGCAACUUUGUCAAAAAAGGCGAAAUCGGCCACGUAUUUCCCUGAGGGAGACAGGGAGACGACUGGGGGAAACUCGUAGCCCCAGAGGAUCUCAUCUGGAAGGUAGGAUGUUCGAACCUGGCAGGUAGCGGAAGUCGGCUCAACCGUGGCGCUCAAGAUCACUAGAAGCUCAAAGUCAGCCAGGUCGGGGUCUGUCCAGCCACCACCUGGAGAACAGAGGACACCGCAGGGGGUACCAAAGCACUCCAAACACGAACCAGGUCCCAGCAAAGGUGGCAGAGAAGAGGAAGAACUUGUAGCGCCAUUGCAUGUCGAGGAAAGUCGUCCAGAGAUCGCGAAGGUACAGCGCCCCACGCCCGCUUACGUGCUCGAUGCGUACAUUGCUUCGUCCGUCUUUGGAGAGGACGCGGCGCCUUCUUCGCAGAGCAUUGGGCCCUCCAGCAUCUGUUGCUCCUCCACCUGAACCAGCACCUCCGGUCCCCGUCGGGGAGCCCAGCAGGGGCUUGGUGAUGUCAGUCUGUGUCUGGGAGUGGCAUAUUUUCUGAGGGGAGGAGCCUUCUGAGGAGGGUGGAGUGGCUGAGGUCAUGGCCGGCACUACAGGGAGUAGGACACAGAAAAGGGCAUCACUUGUAUGAGCAGUGAAAUUAAGUGAACAGCAGGUCAGGAUCUCUUCCUCUCCAUCCGGCUCCCCAUCCCUCUCCUUCCCUCAGUCCUGUGCGCACAAGAAUCCUUUGUUUUCCAAGAGAUGAAAGGGACAAAAGCCACCAUUGAAAAAUACAACUGGGUGAGCGAGUGAGUGAAAGAGAGAGCAAGUUAGACGGGGAGAGGAGAGCGGUACGGAGGGUUAAAGUGUGUGUGUUUGCAACUGUGUUUGAUCGUGUGUGAGUAUGCAGUGCUUGACAUUGUGAGGGGGCAGAGA